rnacentral:lncRNA from 1 species
ACUGAACUGAACAACAGAAGAGAUGCAAGAUUUUAAACUGAAAUUAAUCAUCUUCAUUUAAAAAACACUUUUGCCUGGAUUAAUGACUAAAAUCCCGUUAAAGAAGUAGAUGCAGAAAAGCUGUCUGUUUCCACCAUUCCUCCUAAGAAAACUGCUAUCCAGAAGGGCAGAGUCCACUUGAACCCUGCUUGCCAUCUCAGGCAUAGCCAGCAUGUGCAGACAGGCUCAUACAAACUGCCUUCAAUGUAUCUCCUUCUCCCUUCCUCUCACUUUAUUUUAAAAAUCCUUUUACUGAUGAAGCCUUUUAAACAUAAAUGGAAAACAAGAAUGAGGAUUACAAAACAAGCAUUUCUGAAAUAAAACUGACAUUUGCUUACGAGCACACUCAAGAUACACUUUUAAGGUAGAAAGGUUUAUUUUGCCCUUCUGAGAUUACGGGUAGAAAAAACUAAGACACAAAGGAGGAGUGAGUUAUUAGCCUGAAGUCAGAAAGUAAGACAGCACUAUUACUAAAAAUAGAAUCAGUCUCCUGACUUUCAGCAUUUAUAUUUUAUCCCUUUUAGGCCACAAUACUUUGAUGUAAUAUCCAACUUCAAAGAAAAAACUUAAACCAUUGCUGUUCAAUGAGAAGCAUUUUUCAGGCUAAAUGGUUCACUAUAAGGCUUCAUAAAUCCAAGGAAUGGUAUUUUAAAUAUUUGAACCAUGCCCUUAGCCAUUGUUGAGUUCAUCCUUCACCAUGAUCAACUCCAUGAGAGCAAGAGGUCUAUUGAUUUUCAUGUAAUACAAGAAAAUAUUACAUUUGCUUAAUUGUUACACAGUGAGCACAUCAGGCAAGAAAUCAAGGCGCUAUUUAAUGCUGCAAACAGCAGAGAAUUACAGAGAUCAAUAGGGCAGUUUGUCAAAGAUGUUCUCCAAGGAGACUUACCUAUCACCAUAUGGACAAGAAGUCACUGUGAUUGUAGCUAUUGAAAAACAGGUAAGCAGAGUCAGCAGUACAAAUUAUCAGAAAUCAAACAGGCCAGUGUGAAAAGAAGUGCAACUUUACUGAAAAGCUGUAUUUAUAGUCUAGUAAUUAAAAACCAUUUUAUCAGCCUUGUGUGGGGACCAAACCUUUACAGCAAGUAUUGACAAGACCAGCAGCAAUGAAUGACCAGUAUUUGACUUAAAACUUAUGAGCUAUAGUUAUUUAACUUUGCCCAUUACAGAGGAAAUCAGUUCUAGCCUUCCUUGCACAAUGCUAAUAGUCAGUUUUAUUAUUAAUGAAGCUUAAUGUAACACUAUCUCCUUUGUGUAAGCCGUUCAUUUAACUAGCAUCAAGUAUAUUCUUCUGGACUAUAAGUACUUCCUUGAUUAAGGCUUUAUUUAGAAUUGCUUUUAGACAAGUGAACACUACAUAUAUUUGAAGAAGAGUUCACUCUCUGUAGCUCAGAUACAAUGACUACCUUUAACAAAGCCCGUUUGUGUUUCUUCCAUUAUU